UGUAAGGAAAAUUAAUAGUCUUGUUUGAGAU
rnacentral:piRNA from 1 species